GGUCUGCAGCAUGAGGGCAUCUUCAGAGUGUCAGGCUCUCAGGUGGAGGUCAAUGACAUCAAGAAUGCUUUUGAGAGAGGUGAGGACCCGCUGGCAGGGGACGAGAAUGACCACGACAUGGAUUCCAUCGCUGGCGUCCUAAAGCUCUAUUUUAGAGGACUGGACCACGCCCUCUUCCCGAAGGAAGUCUUCCAUGACCUCAUAUCCUGCGUCUCGAUGGAGAGCCUUCAAGAGCGGGCAGUCCACAUUAAAAAAGUUCUGCAGUCUCUGCCGAACAAAACCCUCAUCAUUAUGAGAUAUCUGUUCGCCUUCCUCAACCAGUGAGUAGCAGGGCAGACACACACACACA